CGGAGCCGGACACCGCCGCAGGCAUGCACGCAUGCCGAGGCCGAGCCCGACUCGAGCUCGCGCUCCUGGUCCACCUCGUGCGCGUCCGACCCGCCGUACGCGGGCCAAACUCCACGAGGAACCCCACACCCCUGAUCUCGAUUCCUUCCGUAGCCGCACGCUCUGGAUAGGGCGAAACGGAUCUCGCCUAGAGCUCCGCCGUUCGCCGGAGAUUUUCGCCACCAAACCGAGCAGGGAGAGAGGAACGAGCUCGACCACCGUUUGCCGGAGCACUCCGGAGUUCGCGACGCCGCCGUCAGUAGAGGAUGCCCCCGUCGCCGUACUCACGACCACCGCCUCCGCCGCUCAACGCCGCACCCACCCAUCACUUCACCCUCGCCGGAGAGUCGCCGGAGCAGCGCCACCGCAGCCGCCGACUGCCGCCGCCGUUUUCCUCCGUACACGAUUGUCUGGAGUGCGACGUAAACCUUUGUCAGGAGUGUAACUUUCUGAACCAGAACCAAGGCAAGUUACAUGUUGACCAUCCUUUACCUAUUGUUUUCUAUGCAUGUAGUUAUAUCACACUAUGAAAAUAUGCAUGUAUAGGAUUACUAUAUAAUUUUGCUAUGUUGUUGAGCUAUCAUCCCAUCUUUUGCAAAUCGUGGUAGUUAUAGUUUGUUAUGCUUUGUAGACGGGGGUGGUUCAUGUAUCCAUUGGGAUUAUGUGAAGAUUAUAUAUAUAUAUAACAAAUUGAGUAUUAAUAAAGGAUUUAACUCACCUCUGGGCGGAACUGGUAUUGAUGGGUGGUUUCAAGAACAUCAUGGUUUAUACCCUUUGAAUUUAAGUGGAUGGCCACCCAGGCUCAAAAAGAUCAGACAGACUUAGUGACUAGUAGCUUCCAUGCGCAACCACUAGCUAAAUGGCCUCCGGCUUAGUUGAGUAGGUUGUGGGACCCUUGCCCAGGUAAGCUAGCAGAUGUAGAUAUGAGUAGGUGUACCGACUGCCACUGGGUGGAGGUGACUACUUCUGAAAGACUUCGUCUCAAUCUUCGGGUUGGGUCUAGUGGGUAGAGUGUGCAAAACUCUGUAGAGUACUAAAAACUAAUCAUGAUUAGCCGUGUCCCCGGUUAUGCACAAAUUUGAGCGACUAUGCCAUUACAGUUGUUUGAUGAUCUUGACAGAUGUGACACUUAAUAAUAUUUGUGGGCAACUUAAUAAAAGGGUAGGUUGGAGUUGAUUUUGCCAACUCAACCUUGUGUAUAUAACUGUAGUAAUAAAAGAACUAAAUAAAAAUUUGACUAUUAGGUAGUUAUGAGGACAAAAUCAGCUUUCUGCAAAAAUAAAGCCUGAAGCCUUCCUGUUGUUAUACUAUGCAUAUACAAAUAGGUCUGCUUUAUUAUUACUCCUGCGUAACUUGCCAAUAUAUUCAAAGUAUUGACCUAUAUGGCCGCAAAGUCUCAUGUUGCAGGAUAUUCAGACGAAUAGUAAGGUACCGUUAGGGUCGUGCGUCUGCACUCAGCAUCGCCAGUGGGCUAUGAUGGGACUCAUCAUUAUUUUUUGCUACUUUCCGUUGUUUGAUUGAAUAAAGCUAGCCAUGUGAUAUGCAUAUUGUUUUAUUUUAUAUAUUCUGGAUCAUACGUUGUAAUAAAUGAUGCACUUGCUUUUAUGGUAUUCAUCUAUAUUGUGUGUGCUAGCGAGUUCGAUCCAGGGACUAGCACGGUAAGCACAGAGACUCAAAUCCUUCGAGGUUUGGUCAUUACAAAUGAACAUGUUUCCAAUGACAAUUAGAGAUCAUAGUUACUCAUGCCAUGCUUAAAUAUCUAGGAGUGGAUAAUGGUUUAUCUUGUAGUCAACAUGCAUUUAAAAUGGAUUAUGAUGUAGUAUGAUAGGAUGGUAUCCUCCUCUAAAUGAUUCAAGUGGCUUGACUUGGCACAUGUUCACGCAUGUAGUUGAAUCAAAACCAACAAAGCCUCCAUGAUAUUUAUGUUCAUGGUUUUUAAUAUCCCACUCAUGCUCGUAUUCAAUGUUGAUUAACCUCAAUGCAUGUUUAUGACCGUUGCCACUCUCUAGUUGGUCGCUCCUCGAUCUAUUUGCUAGCCUUCACUUGUACUAAGCAGGAAUACUGCUUGUGCAUUCACUUCAUAAAACCCAAAGUUAUUCCAUAUGAGUCCAGCAUACCUACCUAUAUGCGGUAAUUACCUACCGUUCCAAGUAAAUUUGCAUGUGCCAGACUCUAAAUCUUCAAAUGAUAAUCUGUUUGGUAUGCCCGAAUCGCUCAUGAAGUGACAGGGGGCGGUCAAUAUAUUCCAUCCUAGGUGGGUUAUUCUCAUGAGGAGUGUUUAUUCACUUUUCAUUCACGAGAAAGUGGCUGGUAAUUGGGAUGUCCAGUCCUAUGAUCAAAAUCAAAACAUAAUAAUGAAACAAAACUCCCCCGAAGUGUUGUUGGUAUGGAGGGUACCUGAGGAUUCGGCUAGCCAUGGCUUGUGUUUGUUGGUGGAGGGGGAGUAAAACUUUACUUUUCUAUUUGGGAACCGCCUAUAAUGUGUCUACCAUGGAAUAUAGUGAAAAUCCUCGGUCGCUAAUUUGACAAUGAAAGCAUACCGGCCAAAAUUAUAUUCAUCUCUAUUUUAAAAGCUUCGACCUCUUGCACCUCUGCAAAUCCCUGCUUCCCUCUUUGAAGGGUCUAUCUAUUUACUUUUAUUGUUGAGUCAUCAUCUUCUCAUCAAAAGCACCAGCUAGAGAGCACUAUUAUCAUGGUCAUGCUUUCUGUUUAGGUAAUGUUGAGUAUGAGUGUGACUGGAUCUCUUUUACCAUCCUAUCUUGCAAGUUAUAUGCACCUAUUACGAGUUAUGAUCCACAUACCCCAAGGUGACAAUAAUUGGGAUUCUUUCUGGUGAUUACCAUAGUUUGAGGAGUUCAUGUAUUCACUAAGUGCUAAUGCUUUGUUCUGAUUCUCUAUUAUAAGGAGGCCUUAAUAUCCCCUAGUUUCCUUAUGGACCCCGCUGCCACGGGAGGGUAGGACAAAAGAUAUCAUGCAAGAUCUUUUCCAUAAGCACGUAUGACUAUAAAACGGAAUGCAUGCUUACAAUACAUUGAUGAAUUGGAGCUAGUUCUGCAUCGCUCUAGGUUAUAACUAUUACAUGGUGAAUGCAAUCCAACACAAUUAUCCAUCACCGACCCAAUGCCUACGAGCUUUUCAUAUAUUGAUCUUUCCUAAGUUACUUCCGUUGUUGCUGCUAUUACAAUCACUACAAAACUGCUACUGUUACUAUAGCUACCGUUACCGUUACUAUCAAACUACCAUACUACUUUUCUACUGAUCACCUUGCUGCAGAUAUUAAGUCUUUUAGGUGUGGUUGAAUUGACAACUCAACUGCUAAUAAUUUAUGCAGUAUUCAACAUAUCAAUAACUUAUGAAUUAUUCAACAUAUCUAUAAUUUAUGAAGUAUUCAUGCCAUGUUUACAACAAUUUUAUAUGGUUUUGGUAUGAUUUGCAUGGAACUAACAGGACUGACGCUGUUUUCAGCAGAACUAUGAUGGUGUUCUUUUUUGUGCAGAAAUUAAAGUUCUUCAAAUGAGCUGAAACUUUUUGAUGAUUUUUUGGAAUAAAAUAGGCACUAGAAGCUUCUUGGGAGGGUUAGAAGAGCCAUGAGGUGAGCAAGAUACACCUGGGCGCGCCUGGAGCCCAAUCCGUGUGCAGGUGUAUCGUGCUCACCUUGAGGCCCAUCUUCGUGUGAAACAGAGGCCAAAUAAUCCUAUAAAUACAGAAAUCCCCAGAAAUAACCCUAGAUUAGAAGUUCCGCCACUACAAGCCUCUGUAGCCA